rnacentral:rRNA from 1 species
AGUGAACGCUGGCGGCGUGCUUAACACAUGCAAGUCGAACGAGAACGGAAUAUAGCUUGCUAUAUUUGUCAGCUAAGUGGCGCACGGGUGAGUAAUGUAUAGAUAACCUGCCCUUAAGAAAGGAAUAACAGUUGGAAACGACUGCUAAUGCCCUAUAUGCCUUUAAUACAUAAGUAUGCAAGGGAAACGCUUUAGUGCUUAAGGAUGGGUCUGUAUGGUAUCAGCUUGUUGGUGAGGUAAUGGCUCACCAAGGCUAUGACGCCUAACUGGUUUUAGAGGAGGAUCAGUCACACUGGAACUAAGACACGGUCCAGAGUCCUACGGGAGGCAGCAGUGGGGAAUAUUGCACAAUGGACGAAAGUCUGAUGCAGCAACGCCGCGUGGAGGAUGACACAUUUCGGUGCGUAAACUCCUUUUAUAUAGGAAGAUAAUGACGGUACUAUAUGAAUAAGCACCGGCUAACUCCGUGCCAGCCGCCGGCGUAAAAC